GAAGUAAAGUCGUAAAAGGUUUCGUAGGUGAACUGCGGAGGAUAAUUAAAAGUAAUCACGUUUUAUCGUGGUUUUAAUAAUCAUCCUACCUUUGUGAAUUUGUGUUUUGUUUUGAAACUUAUGUGUCUAUCCCUGGAUUUGGAGAAGUUUUUUUUCGUAAAAAACUUUUUCAUUUCAGGGAGUAGGCUUUCAUAGACCUUUUCUUAAUUAAACUUUUGUAUUCAUUUGUCUAAAAUUAUUUUUAAUAAUUUAAAACAACUUUUGACAAUGGAUCUCUUGGUUCUCGCAACGAUGAAAACGCAGCAAAUGCGAUAAGUAAUGUGAAUUGCAGAAUACGUGAAUCAUCAAAUCUUCGACGCAUAUUGCACUUUUUUAGUUUACUAAAAAGUAUGUUGUUUGAGUAUCAGUAAAAUAUUCUCAUAAAAACAUUUUUUGUUUUUAUGGUUCUGAGUGUUUUACAACGAUAAACAAGUUGUUACACUUUAAAUUGAUUUUUUUUAAAGCCAAUUUUUUGGUUUUAUAAUAAAAUUGGAUAAAUUUUCCUGUAAAAGGAAUAACUUUUCAGUUUUAGAAUAAUCAAUGUUGUUAUCAAAAAAAGGAAUUAAAUAAUUAUAAACUAACUUGAUCUCAAUCAGAUAAGAUACCGCUGAACUUAAGCAUAUCAAUAAGCGGAGGAAAAGAAACUAACAGGAUUCCCUUAGUAAGGCGAGUGAAGCGGGAAGAGCUCAAAUUUGAAUUCUUCAAGGUUCUACUUGACGAAUUGUAGUUUAAAGAAGUGUUUUUGCUAGUGGAGUGGCAAAGUUUUUGGAAUAGGACAUAUAAGGGGUGAGAUCCGUAUUUGGUCAUUCUUUCUAGUUUGUGAUACACUUUCAAGAGUGGAUUGUUUGGGAUGCAGUCAAAUGGGUGGUAAUUUCAUCUAUAGCUAAAUAUUGGCGAGAGACGAUAGCGAACAGUAACGUGAGGGAAAGAUGAAAGAAUUUGGAAGAGAGUUAUACAGUACGUGAAAUUGUCAAAAGGGAAGCGUUUGACCCAGUGUGUUUUUCGAAAUCAAUUAUGAAUGUUUGUUUUGGGAGUUAUGAUAUCGCUUGCUCCUUUUUACGGAACUUUCGUAAUGCAUUUCGGUUAGCAAGUAUAAACAUUAUUUUGUUGUAAAGGAACGAGGAAGGUGGUUUCUUUUGGAGAAAGUGUUUAUAGCUUGUGCUCUGCAAUCGGAGAUUGAGGU
rnacentral:misc_RNA from 1 species